rnacentral:rRNA from 1 species
UACGUAGGGUGCGAGCGUUGUCCGGAAUUAUUGGGCGUAAAGAGCUUGUAGGCGGUUUGUCGCGUCUGCUGUGAAAAUCCGAGGCUCAACCUCGGACUUGCAGUGGGUACGGGCAGACUAGAGUGUGGUAGGGGAGACUGGAAUUCCUGGUGUAGCGGUGAAAUGCGCAGAUAUCAGGAGGAACACCGGUGGCGAAGGCGGAUCUCUGGGCCAUUACUGACGCUGAGGAGCGAAAGCGUGGGGAGCGAACAGGAUUAGAUACCCCGGUA